UGCUCCGACCAGCUGAUUGAAACUAAUUCUAAACCUUAAAAGUGACCGGCAUUCAGCAAAACUCGCCGGAAUUUCUCCGGAAAGGCUGUUUUGAAGAACAAGAAAGUAGAGCAAUUCCCCUCCUCUGCAUAUAUCCAAUGGCAAUGCCCCCGACAGGCGAUUCUCCGACAAGUCGACGACGACCAUAGGUUCUUGAGCAAGGAGAUUUCUUUUGGAAUCUCUCCCUUGAGAAAGUUCCCACUUAGUUCGAGAUCAAUAAGCGACGUCAUAUUCCCGAUCGAUCGAGGGAUUUCUCCAUCCAACAUACAUGUUGUCAACACCAUAGAUUUCAGCUUCUUCAAUCUAGAGAUCUUCUCAGGAGAGUUCGAGUACACGGAGUUGUUUCAUUUGCGAUAAGUCCGGGAUUGUUCCAUUGAGAUAUAGAGAACUCAAGUCAAGCUCUUGAAUGAGAGAGCAGUUGGUGAUUCCUGAGGGAAAACGCCCCGACAAUCCGGUAUCAGCGAGGCGAAGAACUCUGAGUGAUGGCAGGUAAGAGCAUACAUCGUCCGGGAAGGUACCGGAGAGAGGGUGGCCGGAGAUAUCGAUCCGAACGACGUGACCACGGUCAUUGCAGCGGAUUCCAGUGAAGUUGCAGAAGGAUUUUCCUUGUGAAAGAUCCCAAUUGGAGAGGAGGUCACCUGAGGCAGUUGUUUGCAUGAGAAGGAAGAACUGGGACUGGUUGGCUAUGGCGGCAGUAAGAGCUUGAGAAGAAGCCAUGGAGGAAGUGAAGAACAGAAGAAGAAAGAAGGCUGAGUGGAAAGCCAUGGCUGAUAAUGGAGAAGGAAGGUGAGAGGAAAACUUAAAUAAAAAGGAAAAGGUGCAAAGAAAAGUAGUAGAUGAUACACAUAGCUUUGUAUAAAGAAACUUUAUGUUUAUACUCCCCCACUAUCUGUUGCUGUUGCUGUGGAGAAUCUAUGAACCCGGGUAUCAGUCCAGCUCAUCGUUAGUAGAUAUUGUCUCUUUUGACUUGUUA